rnacentral:rRNA from 1 species
CCUACGGGAGGCAGCAGUGGGGAAUCUUGGACAAUGGGGGCAACCCUGAUCCAGCCAUGCCGCGUGUGUGAAGAAGGCCUUCGGGUUGUAAAGCACUUUCAGCAGGGAGGAAGGCUUACCCCUAAUACGGGUGAGUACUUGACGUUACCUGCAGAAGAAGCACCGGCUAAUUUCGUGCCAGCAGCCGCGGUAAUACGAAAGGUGCAAGCGUUAAUCGGAAUUACUGGGCGUAAAGCGCGCGUAGGCGGUGUGUUAAGUCGGAUGUGAAAGCCCAGGGCUCAACCUUGGAAUUGCAUCCGAUACUGGCACGCUAGAGUGCAGUAGAGGGAGGUGGAAUGUCCGGUGUAGAGGUGAAAUGCGUAGAGAUCGGAAGGAACACCAGUGGCGAAGGCGGCCUCCUGGACUGACACUGACGCUGAGGUGCGAAAGCGUGGGGAGCAAACAGGAUUAGAUACCCUAGUAGUC